UACGUAGGCGGAAAUCUAAGUCAGUGGUGAAAUCCCGCAGCUCAACUGUGGAACUGUCAUUGAUACUGGUUUUCUUGAAUAUAGUUGAGGUAGGCGGAAUGUGUAAUGUAGCGGUGAAAUGCUUAGAUGUUACACAGAACACCGAUUGCGAAGGCAGCUUACUAAACUAUGAUUGACGCUGAGGUACGAAAGCGUGGGGAGCGAACAGGAUUAGAUACCCUGGUAGUCC
rnacentral:rRNA from 1 species